rnacentral:tRNA from 1 species
GCCACAAUAGCACAAAGGCAGUGCAGCGGUUUUGUAAACCGCAGGUUGUUGGUUCAAGUCCAACUUGUGGCU